rnacentral:rRNA from 1 species
GAACGCUGGCGGCGUGCUUAACACAUGCAAGUCGAACGAUGAAGCCCUUCGGGGUGGAUUAGUGGCGAACGGGUGAGUAACACGUGGGCAAUCUGCCCUGCACUCUGGGACAAGCCCUGGAAACGGGGUCUAAUACCGGAUACGAGCCUCCCGGGCAUCUGGGAGGUUGGAAAGCUCCGGCGGUGCAGGAUGAGCCCGCGGCCUAUCAGCUUGUUGGUGAGGUAACGGCUCACCAAGGCGACGACGGGUAGCCGGCCUGAGAGGGCGACCGGCCACACUGGGACUGAGACACGGCCCAGACUCCUACGGGAGGCAGCAGUGGGGAAUAUUGCACAAUGGGCGAAAGCCUGAUGCAGCGACGCCGCGUGAGGGAUGACGGCCUUCGGGUUGUAAACCUCUUUCAGCAGGGAAGAAGCGAAAGUGACGGUACCUGCAGAAGAAGCGCCGGCUAACUACGUGCCAGCAGCCGCGGUAAUACGUAGGGCGCAAGCGUUGUCCGGAAUUAUUGGGCGUAAAGAGCUCGUAGGCGG